GGGCCUAUAGCUCAGUUGGUUAGAGCAACGGACUCAUAACCCGUGGGUCACUGGUUCAAGCCCAGUUGGGCCCACCC
rnacentral:tRNA from 1 species